rnacentral:rRNA from 1 species
UACGGAGGGUGCGAGCGUUGUUCGGAUUUACUGGGCGUAAAGAGUACGUAGGCGGUUAAUUAAGUCUGGUGUUAAAGGCUGGGGCUCAACCCCAGUUUGGCAUUGGAUACUGAUUGACUGGAGGACAAUAGAGGAGGGCGGAAUUCCCAGUGUAGCGGUGAAAUGCGUAGAUAUUGGGAGGAACACCGGUGGCGUAGGCGGCCCUCUGGGUUGUUUCUGACGCUGAGGUACGAAAGCUCGGGGAGCAAACGGG